GGGGGAGUCCCUCGCAUCGGGCUGGCAUGGCCAGCGUGAUGUGCGCGGACUGAGAGUUGGCAUACCGCCAAGACCCUUAGAACCUGAUCCGGAUCAUGCCGGCGAAGGGAAGGAGGAUUAU
rnacentral:ncRNA from 1 species